AGAGCUGACUGGCAUCCAUCUCCUGAGGCUCAGGGUUGCCCUUCACAGAGGAAGCAGCGGACAAGUUGAAAACUGGAAAGGUGGCUUCAAGCUAAGCGCAAACAAUACAGUGUUCAAUGUGAUGGUGCCCGUGGAAAGCUGGCCACAGUGGCUGGGAUGCCCUCACAGAAUGUGCAUGCAGGGAAGUUCUCGUCUCAACAACACAUGGCCGUAAUUUUGUUUAUACACAUUGUACUGUUGCAGUUUGCUCCUGAUCCCAAUUGACUAACGAAGACAUUCUAUUGAAGACAAUAAAACCUGCUAAGAGUAUGUUGGAAACACCAAAUAAAACAUGGGCUCCUCAGCUAUUGGGGGCAUGGAUUUGAAAGCUUCUGAUAGCAGAAAUUUCUUGCUGAUUGUUUUCUGCUAUCAACAACAUCCUCAGA